UACGUAGGGUGCAAGCGUUGUCCGGAAUUAUUGGGCGUAAAGAGCUCGUAGGCGGUUUGUCGCGUCGAAUGUGAAACCCGGGGCUCAACUCCGGGCCUGCAUUCGAUACGGGCAGACUAGAGUUCGGUAGGGGAGACUGGAAUUCCUGGUGUAGCGGUGAAAUGCGUAGAUAUCUGGAGGAACACCGGUGGCGAAGGCGGCGUUCUGGACUGUAACUGACACUGAGGCGCGAAGCCAGGGAGACAAAGCGGG
rnacentral:rRNA from 1 species